AUGAGUAUUUUGUAAAAUGCGUAAUUCGGUGAUGUUAAGUACGUGGAAGCGAGAGGAAUGAUCGAGGAUUAUUAUUGAGAGAGAUCGUAAUAUUCGGGAUGUGCUCAGGUUCAAAAUAUAACUCGGAGAUCCAAUAGAUGUGAUGCUACAAAGUUUAGGGGGCUUUGUUCACGGCUGAAUCAAAAAGUGAACAGAAGAUCCAAACCGUAGCCUACGGUUGUCAUGCGUAAGCUACGUUGGUUAGUGGGCCAUACAUCACGUGAUUGAAGGAGUCUACAUCAUCAAUUUUUAAUAUCAUCACACUCCAACAUCAUAUAUACAUAUUAAUUUUGACGGCUAUAUCUGGGAUUUUGAGAAUUGGACUUUUCAACUUCAUUAUUAUUGGAGGCCAUCAUUACAUGCAGAAGAUAUUAAAAAGUGGGAGGAACACAAUUUAGAUGAUAUGGAUUGGACUAUUUUGGCGGCACAUCUAGGAACAUUAUCAUACAUCACGUGAAUAAUGAGAAGGGUCUUAGACUUGGCGACUGGUUAGUGGGCCGACAUACAAGGUUUUACAUAGUCAACAAUUGACGACAUGGGGGCCCACCAUCAAUUGAUUAAAUGAGUAACACAAGAAGUCCAUAACAAUAAUCAAUCAUCAUCUCAUCGCAGACUUGAGGGUGCAUGUGAGGGUCUUGACCUUUGUGGAUUGGGCCGCCAACACAUGGGCUUUGACAGUAAGGGAUCAAAAGGGCAGUCGCCAUAUUCAGGGGUUUUUCUCGAGGGCACCAAUUAUAAUAAUACAAAGAGAUCAUCAUUCGUUCACAUCGACUAAGGUGGAGGUGGAGAUCAUUCAAUCCACAUGAGCGGCUAGUCUUUAGUGGUUUCCUUCGGAUGAAGGGUUUUUGUAAGUUAACUAAUUUUAUGUGUUUGGUGACAAUCGUUUGACUCAGUGAUCUAAGCAUUCGAUGCUUUUCACUUGUGAUUUAGUUGAUUAAUUGUAAUCGAUUGCAUU
rnacentral:lncRNA from 1 species